UGAGAACAUGCCCUUAGGUUCGGGACAACAGUUGGAAACGGCUGCUAAUACCGAAUGUGCCGAGAGGUGAAAGAUUAAUUGCCUAAGGAUUGGCUCGCGUCAGAUUAGCUAGUUGGUGGGGUAAGAGCUUACCAAGGCAACGAUCUGUAUUUGGUCUGAGAGGAUGACCAGACACACUGGGACUGAGACACGGCCCAGACUCCUACGGGAGGCAGCAGUGGGGAAUUUUCCGCAAUGGGCGAAAGCCUGACGGAGCAAUACCGCGUGAGGGAGGAAGGUUCUUGGAUUGUAAACCUCUUUUCUCAGAGAAGAAUAAUGACGGUAUCUGAGGAAUAAGCAUCGGCUAACUCCGUGCCAGCAGCCGCGGUAAUACGGAGGAUGCAAGCGUUAUCCGGAAUGAUUGGGCGUAAAGGGCCUGUAGGUGGUUGUUCAAGUCUGCUGUUAAAGCGUCUGGCUUAACCAGAUAAAGGCGGUGGAAACUGAACGACUAGAGUGCGGUAGGGGUAGAGGGAAUUCCCAGUGUAGCGGUGAAAUGCGUAGAUCUUGGGAAGAACACCUGUGGCGAAAGCGCUCUACUGGACCGCGACUGACACUGAUGGACGAAAAGCUAGGGGAGCGAAUGGGAUUAGAUACCCCA
rnacentral:rRNA from 1 species